AGAGAUGGAUGUGUCUCUUCGGAGACGGUAUGACAGGUGCUGCAUGGCUGUCGUCAGCUCGUGUCGUGAGAUGUGGGUUAAGUCCCGUACGAGCGCAGCCCUAUGCUAGUUACCAUCAUUAAGUUGGGGACUCUAGCGAGACUGCCAGUGAUAAACUGGAGGAAGGUGGGGAUGACGUCAAAUCAUCAUGCCCCUUAUGACCUGGGCUACAAACGUGAUACAAUGGCUGGAACAAAGGGAUGCGAAGCAGUGAUGUGGAGCGAAACCCAUAAAAACAGUCUCAGUUUGGAUUGAAGUCUGCAACUCGACUUCAUGAAGUCGGAAUCGCUAGUAAUCGCGGAUCAGAACGCCGCGGUGAAUACGUUCUCGGGGUUU
rnacentral:rRNA from 1 species